GUGGUGGGGCAGGGGGCGGUUAACUCCUUUUCUUCCCAAACCAUAGUAGUCUGGGGAGGGAGACAUUCAGAGGCUCCACCCGUACCGGGAAAAGCAAACAAUCUGGUGCCAGAAAGCUUUGAGUUCGAUUCCCGGCUCUGUCACUUACUAGAGGCGGGCUCCUUUGUCCUGGUUAUUUAGUCUCCCGCUUCUGGAGAGACUCCCUGGGCCGGGGCGGGGGCCGUUGCGCAGUGCCAGGGAGGUAACGGCUGGGAAAGGGCUUCUGCGUGCUGGAACGCGCCGCUGGGGACCGCGGGGUUACAGGGCUCUCAGCGGGCGCCGCCGCUCCAGCCCCUCGGCCUCGCGCGCGCGGGGCGCCAGUGGGUUUCGUGCUGAAGGCGGGGAGGCCGCCUGCCAGAUGUCGAGUCAGAAAAACGGUCACCGUCGGUGCCUGGACAAUGGGGAGGGGCGCCCUGGGGCCCCGGGGAGACUCGGCCCCUGGCCGCCGCCGCGGGCCACUGCCCAGGCAAUGUAGAGUUUCUCAAAUGUCACUUCAGCUAUCAACAGACAAGAAGGAACUGAGAGAAGAGCCUGGUGCCAUCUCACACACCUGUAAUCCCAGCUACUUGGGAGGCUGAGACAGGGAGAUCCCAAAUUCAAGGCUCUUCCUGAGGCUGUUAGUAGGCCUGGAUAAGUCCUCCCUUGCCUCCGCCUCACCUCAUCACCUUCCCUCCACCCCCGCUGAUGCUGCUGCUGCCGCAGUAACAUCCCA
rnacentral:lncRNA from 1 species